rnacentral:rRNA from 1 species
UACGUAGGGUGCGAGCGUUGUCCGGAUUUAUUGGGCGUAAAGAGCUCGUAGGCGGUUCAGUAAGUCGGGUGUGAAAACUUUGGGCUUAACCCAAAGCGUGCAUCCGAUACUGCUGUGACUUGAGUUCGGUAGGGGAGUGGGGAAUUCCUAGUGUAGCGGUGAAAUGCGCAGAUAUUAGGAGGAACACCGGUGGCGAAGGCGCCACUCUGGGCCGAAACUGAACGGCUGAGGAGCGAAAGCAUGGGUAGCAAACAGG